rnacentral:rRNA from 1 species
AGUGAACGCUGGCGGUAGGCCUAACACAUGCGAGUCGAACGGCAGCACAGUAAGAGCUUGCUCUUACGGGUGGCGAGUGGCGGACGGGCGAGGAAUACAUCGGAAUCUACUUUUUCGUGGGGGAUAACGUAGGGAAACUUACGCUAAUACCGCAUACGACCUACGGGUGAAAGCAGGGGAUCCUCGGACCUUGCGCGAUUGAAUGAGCCGAUGUCGGAUUAGCUAGUUGGCGGGGUAAGGGCCCACCAAGGCGACGAUCCGUAGCUGGUCUGAGAGGAUGAUCAGCCACACUGGAACUGAGACACGGUCCAGACUCCUACGGGAGGCAGCAGUGGGGAAUAUUGGACAAUGGGCGCAAGCCUGAUCCAGCCAUACCGCGUGGGUGAAGAAGGCCUUCGGGUUGUAAAGCCCUUUUGUUGGGAAAGAAAAGCAGCAGGUUAAUACCCCGCUGUUCUGACGGUACCCAAAGAAUAAGCACCGGCUAACUUCGUG